GGAGGAAUAUUGGGCAAUGGACGAAAGUCUGACCCAGCAACGCCGCGUGAAGGAUGAAGGCCUUCGGGUCGUAAACUUCUUUUGAGGGAGACGAGAAAGGACGGUAUCCCUCGAAUAAGCCACGGCUAACUACGUGCCAGCAGCCGCGGUAAAACGUAGGUGGCGAGCGUUAUCCGGAUUCAUUGGGCGUAAAAGAGCUUGUAGGUGGUGCGAUAAGUUGGACGUGAAAACUCCGGGCUUAACUUGGAGAGGCCGUUCAAUACUGUUGUGCUAGAGGGCGUCAGAGGAAGUGGAAUUCCUGGUGUAGCAGUGAAAUGCGUAGAUAUCAGGAGGAACAUCCGUGGCGAAGGCGGCUUCCUGGGGCGCACCUGACACUGAGAAGCGAAAGCUAGGGGAGCAAACGGGAUUAGAAAACCCCGGUAGUCCUAGCUGUAAAACGAUGGAUGCUAGGUGUGAGUGGAUCUAACCCCGCUCGUGCCGAAGCUAACGCGUUAAGCAUCCCGCCUGGGAACUACGAGCGCAAGCUUAAAAA
rnacentral:rRNA from 1 species